rfam:Parcubacteria bacterium GW2011_GWB1_44_7 TW71_C0001, whole genome shotgun sequence.
GGAGGGUUCGCAUAGUGGUCUAGUGCGCGCGCUUGGAAAGCGCGUAUGCCGAAAGGCAUCAAGGGUCCGAAUCCCUUACCCUCCG